AAGGAACCUGCCCCAAGGAUUGGGAUAACUCCGAGAAAUCGGAGCUAAUACCGAAUAGUUCUUCAGACCGCAUGGUCUGAUGAUGAAAGGCGCUCCGGCGUCACCUUGGGAUGGCCUUGCGGUGCAUUAGCUAGUUGGUGGGGUAACGGCCCACCAAGGCGACGAUGCAUAGCCGACCUGAGAGGGUGAUCGGCCACACUGGGACUGAGACACGGCCCAGACUCCUACGGGAGGCAGCAGUAGGGAAUCUUCCACAAUGGACGAAAGUCUGAUGGAGCAACGCCGCGUGAGUGAUGAAGGUUUUCGGAUCGUAAAACUCUGUUGUAAGGGAAGAACAAGUACGAGAGGGAAUGCUCGUACCUUGACGGUACCUUGCGAGAAAGCCACGGCUAACUACGUGCCAG
rnacentral:rRNA from 1 species